rnacentral:rRNA from 1 species
GACGAACGCUGGCGGCGUGCUUAACACAUGCAAGUCGAACGGAAAGGACCUGCUUUUGUGGGGUGCUCGCGUGGCGAACGGGUGAGUAACACGUGAGUACCGUGCCCUUGACUGUGGGAUAACCUCAUGACACUAGGGCUAAUCCCGGAUAGGAUCUCCUGCUGCAUGGUGGGGGUUGGAAAGUUUCGGCGGUUGGGGAUGGACUGGCGGCUUAGCAGCUUGUUGGUGGGGUAGUGGCUUACCAAGUCUUUGACGGGUAGCCGACCUGAGAGGGUGACCGGCCCCAUUGCGACUGAGAGACGGCGCAGAAUGGUAUGGGAGGCAGUAGUGGAGAGUAUUGCAUAGCGGGCCGGAGCGUGAUGUGAAGACGCUGCGUGCGGGAAGACGUGCUGCGGGUUGGGAACCACUUCCGGCUUAGCCGAUGGGAGAGUGACGGUAACGGGUAAAGAAGCCCCGGCUAACUACGUG